rnacentral:rRNA from 1 species
AUUGAACGCUGGCGGCAGGCCUAACACAUGCAAGUCGAGCGAGCGGCGGAGGGGAGAGAAAUGUCUGGGAAUUGCCCAGUCGAGGGGGAAAACAGUUGGAAACGACUGCUAACAGCGUAUACGAUUGGGUCGCCCAGGUGGGAUUAUCUAGUUGGUGGGGUAAUGGCUCACCAAGGCGACGAUCCCUAGCUGGUCUGAGAGGAUGAUCAGCCACACUGGAACUGAGACACGGUCCAGACUCCUACGGGAGGCAGCAGUGGGGAAUAUUGCACAAUGGGCGAAACCCUGAUGCAGCCAUGCCGCGUGUGUGAAGAAGGCCUUCGGGUUGUAAAGCACUUUCAGCGAGGAGGCGUUACUCGCAGAAGAAGCACCGGCUAACUCCGUGCCAGCAGCCGCGGUAAUUC